rnacentral:misc_RNA from 1 species
AGUUCACAUAGUCAAUUGCAUUCCCAUGGUGUUUCCAUAGUUCCAAGUAAUGGCUUUGGACCUCCCCAUCAUCAUCAUAGGGCGCAAUUGAAGAAAAUGAUAUGGUCCCACUUUCUUUUAGACUAGUUAUCAGCCGUCCGAUGCAUUCAGAGAAUGUAUCAGGAUCUGAUCUGAAGUGUUCAUAGUCAAUAUCAAUUCCAUCUAUGUUGUAAUGUUUUAUCAUAUGAGUUAGUGAAGAUACGGCAUUUUUUACCCAAGAUUCUAUAGACUUUGGAGCAAAAUAUGCUUUCUCACCACCAAUACUGUCUCCACCCAAGCUCACAGCAACCUUGACAUUA